GGCCCGGGAAAGGACCAGAACAGGCGGCGAAGACUGAAGCCCGGAGGUAGGAGUGGCAAGAGCUCGCCCAGUCCGCGAAGGGUAAACUCGCGCAUGCGCACUGGCCUUCAACCAAGCCAAGCGCCUUGGCUUCUGUCCUGGAUGCUCAGUGUUUUGCGGUUUACGAUGCGCAUCGUUUUCCCGGCUCUGGCACCAGAUCCAUACUAUUCUGUAAACUGAGGCGGCGAUGCCCAAAAAUUGGAAGCAAUUACUCUAAGAUAUCAAAAGAUUGAAGCAAGCCAUGAAACCUCUGCGCGGAGAGAGCCGAGCCCGAGGCGGCGGGGAGCCAGCACGUGUGCGCAGCUCCGCCCUCUUUUGGCGAAGCACCUAGGCCUGGCCCCUCCCGCGACCUGUAGCGCGGCGGAGCAAGCGCGGAAGGCUGGGAGGGCUGCGCGGGCUGCGCGUCGCCAUGGAGCCCGACGGGACUUACGAGCCGGGCUUCGUGGGUAUUCGCUUCUGCCAGGAAUGGUGCGGCCACAAGGAGGCUGUGUUCUUCCAGUCACACAGUGCGCGGGCCGAGGUAAGUGGCGCGAGGGCUUUCUAAGUAUCUGGGGCUUGUUUGGUCCUUUCUGGGGGCGGGGAUAUCAAUGUGGGUGACCCUGCGCUUCUUGGAACUCUGCCGGGCCCUUACCUAUUGGUGAAGUUCUCUUGCCUGUUCUUUUGGGGUAAGGCGCUGCUGGGUCCAAAUCCUUCCUAACCAUGCAUCAUUUCUGCCAGGACGCCAUGCGCCUUUACUACGUGUGCACAGCCCCACACUGCGGCCACCGCUGGACCGAGUGACCUCCUCUCUCCCCCGAGUGUAAUAAACACCAGAUUCCAUGCGUG
rnacentral:lncRNA from 1 species